AGAGCGAAAAUGGCGUAGAGCGAAGGGUGUCAGGAGGAGAGGGGCGACGGGACCUUCUUCUCUCCUCGUCGGCGUGCUUUGGAGGGGAGAGAAGAGGGUCCGGAGGUUUGGGGUUUAUCUUUCUUUAGCCGUGUCCUCACCGACGCGGUCCCAAACGGCGACUUUAACCCGGCGUCCGUCCGGUUGGUUGGCGCUCCGGUGUGUCACCGUAGAGGAAGAAGAAGCCCUCCGGCUUUUGUUUACCAUUGUGUGCAGCUGCAGCUCAAAGCUCAGAGGAAAUAUCUGUGCAUCAUGUCAGAGCCGCUGUCACCAAGGAAGAAAUUUCCACUUCGUCGAGUCAUGAAACCAGCCGAAGCCCAGACUGGAGAGACGUCUCCCUUCAGAGCAGCACCAACCACAUAUCGCCUCCACCACCACCAGGACCUGCAGAGGUAAAGAGUCCCUGUCAGGAUGACCUGCUUUGGGCUUCUGCGACUCGGGUGUCCUCCUUCCUGCUGUUACUGGGACAUCAGGCAUCUCUCCUUCACAGCAUCCCCUCUAGUCCUGGCCUGUUUCUGCAGCCUGAUCAUCAACAGUGAGGACAUCUGCCACCAAUCUGGGCUGUCUGACUUCCACGACGCACACUCUGGUUAUGCCUACAUGUAGCCUCACAGUAGCUUCGCUGGCCAAAUUUGCCAGAAGGUCUCCAGGCCGCAUGUAAACAUACUCACUAAAACUUCCCGAAAAAAAGUAAAAAUCCUGAUUUUAAACAAAUUAUCUGCUAAUGUUUUCUGGGAAGAAAGUAUAGACACAAGAUACUGUAGCAAAGAUCAAGGCCUGUGAUUUAAAUUAGACUCAUUGUGGGUUUUUUUCUGUUUGUUUUUCGCUCUACCUCAUUGCCAUAGCAAGUCCAACAGGAUUGAAAAGGAUCAGUACAAGUAGCAUAAUGGUUGUCAAGCACCACAGCAGUUUUCUAUGUUGUUCCUUGAUUUUAGUUUUUGGAGGGUUAAUAAGGCAGGUAGUUGACGGGUAAAUAGGAGAAGACUGAGCAACCCACAUGCACACGACGCACACUGUCAUUUAAUUCACAUUCAGCCAUUUUCAUUCACUCAAACUGUGCAUGCUCACCUAUGCAUCUGUUUUAAAAGAAGAUUUUUGACCCUGUGUGGUCGUUUUUGCAGAAUUCCCCAGCAUUCCCUUCAUGUUCAGUCCUUGAAAGUGAAAAUUGGCAUCCUAACUUCCUCAUAUCCUGGUCCAAUUUUUCCUUUUAUUUAGCCUUUUCCCUCCAUAGUAGCUCUCAUUUGUUCACACGAGAGAUGUACAAACAGGACAUUCUCUUAGGCACUGUUUGUAGAGAUACAGUUUUUCUUUUGUGCCAUUAAUCUUGACAAAAUAAUCAAAAUCAAUGUUUUGGCCUGCAAAGUUUACCACACGUUUGGUCCCUGCCUGAGGGAAACCCUGGUCUCAUGUUUUUCUUUGUUUAUGAUUUUCACAAAAGGGAAAGAAAAUAUCUAUCACAUUUUACCGGGAUUUGUGCAAUAUUUGAUCUUAACUGUCAUGUUGUUGACCAAACUGUAUAUUGUAUAAACAAGUGACAAGUUGUUUGAAAGCAACAAAAUCACCAAUGUCUUCCAUUAAGAUAUGUAUAGACUCAUGUGCAUUAGCUUAUUUAGCGGGACUGUGGUGCCAACAUUAUAGUAGCCAUGCAUGACCAGUAGUGAUGCUUGCUUCAUGAAGAAUAGUGAAAUCGAUUUCUAGACUAAGCUGGAGCUCAAAACUGUGGAAACCAUUUCAGUGCAGUUGAACGGUGGUAGAUUGACGUAAUACACCACAUUUAGAUUCAGCUUUGCCCUAAAAUCUUUUCUUUUUGUUCCAUGUCUAGGCUAAAAAUACAGUACGUCACAAUCAGGGUGUUCUAUUAAUAAGCACUGAUUCAAGUCUUUUAACAUAUGCUCAAUAUAAAUAAGUGCUUUCUUGUGUUCUUGCACACUUAAAAAAAGAAUUAGGUAGUUAAUAUGCCAAAAACUGUCCCUGAAAAAUGCGUCUUAAGAUGUGACAAUGAUAGAAACCUUUAGAGAAAACGCUACAACCUUAAUCUCUAGCUUUGGAUCUGACGUUUUUAGUCCUAGAAUUAAGAUCUCACCUCGACAUCGCUUUGUACAUAUUACCUCAUAGUUUCUGGGAUUCAGAGCGUUAUAUUUUAAUCCAUAAAAUUGUAUUUGAUUAGAGUUUUAGAAGCAAUAACCUACAAUAAUGCAUGAGUUUAGUGCCAGGGUGUAAGUGUUUAAAGGAUUCUGUAACGUCACGUGGAAAGGAUCCCCCCCUCCCUCUCCCACUCUCUUUAUGCCUAUGCUUGCUAUCUUUAUUUUUUUUGGGAGUCACAUAUUUGGCUUUAGAAAAAAGAAAAAAAAAAAGCAUUGGGGUUUGGGAUGCCUCCUGCAGAUAUACGAGGACAGCUGUAGCAUCGUGGUAAUACAGAUUUAACCACUGUUUCCCUGCCUUCCUUUAACACCAAAACAAUAAUCCAAACCAAUCGGUACAUGAGAGAUGCUUUAAAAUUUCAAUCCUUGUAGCAUUUUUACAUCCACAACAAAAAACAAACAAAACCCACCUCCUUCCUUACAGACUUUUCAGUAACUCUGUGGCUGCAAAGACUCACUGACCGAACUUGACACUUGUUUGAAAAGCACUUUCUCUCUAUGUACUGACUUGCACCGUCAUCAUCGCCAUCCUGUCUCGAGUACUGUGUUCUUAAAAACCCUGUAUUGCUCUUUCUGGGGAUUUAUAAUCGCGAUUUAUAAGCAAGUAGGCGUCUAGCAAAACAUGAAUAUAUGGGUUUAAAAAAUAUGCAUGACUUAGCAGAAUAACGAAUGAUUUGUAUUGCAUGCAAUAAUCCAACUUUGUAAUGUGAAUGAGUGUAAUUAGGAUAUCGAGGUGUUCAUAUCAAAUGUUCUGUGACGACUUGAGGGUGGUUCGUUUGGCACAACAGCGAGCGCACCGAAGCAGCUUCGCGCAUCACUUGUGGUUCUUACAGACUAACUGCUUAGUCAUGAUACAAGUUUCUGCCGUGUCACUCUCUGUUGUGUCAGACGUGAGCCGGCAGCACGGCCACAGUGCAGCUGAAACACACAGAUCAACCUUUGUUCCCAUGAAAAAAAGAGAAAAAAAAUAGAACAACAAAAGCUUAGGUAAGAUUACGGACAUUACUUUGUUGAUCAACUUUUCCACUGAGGAGGUGGACUGUGUAGAAACUAUGCACUCCAGAGGGAGGAAAUGGGCAUGCUUAUUAUGUGUGAGCCUCUUGUCUGGUUUUGUAUUUAAAAAGAAAAAAAAAAUAUGAAUCUGUAUCAGAAAUUCAGCAAUAAAAUGCAGCAUGGUGCCAAUUGGA